UUUUGAAUUUACUAAAAUUUGUCUUUUUUUUGAUAUACUGUGCAUUUUACCCAUCAUAAAAAGUAUCUGAACCUAGAGCCAAUUUUAAACAAUUUCCAUAAAAAGAUAGGAAAUUUUAUGAGGAAAAUCUGCAAGACAGCAUGGCAUUUUUUCUAUCCGUUUUAGAGUUAUUCACGAUUUACUAUUUGGUAAAAUUUUGAUUUUUAGGUAUUUUUAAAUAAAAAUCACAAAAGAACUGCCCAAAAACACAUACAAAGUAAAAAAUCACUUAUACUCAACAAGUUUUUGUCUUCAUUGUGUUUGGGAAUUAUAGUGGCAUCAUUUAUUGAAUUUUUGUUUCCGUUGACAAAUCCAUUUUCUUUGAUAUAGAAAGGUACCUACUAGCGAGAAAUUUUAUCAUUAGGUACCAUUUUAAGAUGCCUCAGUAGGCCAUGGCAUUUUUAACGGUUAUGUACUAACAAUGAUUUAUAUGAGCAUAAUACACAAUCAGACGCACGGCACAUUUUCUAUCUCGCAUAGAAAAUAACAUUCUGCCUUGAGGUCCAAACAGUAAAUGUCUUCUACCACUUAGUGUCAGUUUACCACAAACAGUCUCCUUUACGUCCAACAAUAUGACACCUAAAGCAUUGGAUUGUAUAACACGGUUUUUCAAACCCAUAUCAAAAAGUCACAAUAUGUUAUGAUGUCCGCACAUUGUUGAAAGAUAAUGCUGAAAGGAAUAGUAGAAAUGUGAGUCCACAUUCUGUCAAACAGUUACUGUUUGGAUUUCAACAUCAAACUAACACGUUCACACUUCAUUAUGUUUUACUCCUAGGCAACAGUAUGGUAAACAGUUCCACACAUUAGUUUGUGUGUGCGACAUUAUACUGAAAAAUGCAGCAAGCUGUUCGUUUUGUUUUUCACAAAGUGAAAAAAAAACAGCAAAAUUUGCCUUGAACGAUCCGCAUCCACAGUGAAAAUCGGUUCUUUAGAAUUCACCAGGAAAUCCAGCAACUCGAAAGGGUAUUCCUCCUUGGAUUAGAAACAGCUUGCAACGAGGUCUGCAACCGGUAUCGGAAAUGCAUUUUGAGAGAAAUUGGACCUAUUUACAAACCGGACGUGGUGAUCAUUUCAAAGUACCACAGCUACAUCACCUUAGUAUACCUCAACCAGCAUCUAAUUACCCUAAAAAAAGCCCUUUCGGUGCUGCUGCUCCUAAUUCACACAGUGCAACACGGAUGCAUAAGAAGCUGAUCCAAAUCGGCUCGACCCGGUCAACGAUGUUUUUUGAGGUGACUAACUGGUACAAAUCCGUACGAAGCAAGGAAUUGGAGGAUUAUCCGUAGUGAUGGUCACGUCGAGCUGGUAUUUUAUGAAAAGAUUGAAAAGAAGGAUGUUUAAGAACCACCGGACCGGAAGCUCGAGAAGGAAACCCGCUUAAACUAUUUCAAUUUAUUCGUAUCGAUGUUUUACAUGCUUUUGCUGGCACCUACUAGGGGUAAGAUGAGUAAAAUGAGCAUAUUUUGAUUUAGGAAUUCUUUUUUAUGUAGUUUGAAUAAAAACACUUCAAUCAUUUGAAUAUUGUGCUAGUUUUAUUCUAAAAUUUUAACUGCAUCACAACUGUAUAUUAUAUUACCUUUGAACCAUAUUGUACAAUAAAGCAACAGUUACAUAUGCAUUGCCAAUUUUCUUUCCGAUUUUACAGUUUAACUGUUCUAGAACAGUGAGCUGAACAGUGAACUGAGCAAAAAAUGGAUAGUAUAUUGACCUUUUGACAAACUGUAAACGAAAAAUUUUGUUCGAGAAAAUUGGUGUUUUUUCAUUGUAACAUAACUUAACCGCCUAUUCCCCAUACUGUUAUUUGCCCGAGAACCAUCUAUCAAACUGUUGAAUUCAUUCAUGGUACUGUUGGUUUAUUGUUGCUUUAGAUGUUAUACUAUACUGUUGGGGUACUGUAAUGAAUAAUUUCGAACAGUAUGGCAAAGAGUACUAGUAUGGUUCAUGGUUAUGCGGGAUAUCAUUUAAAAGGUGAUACAUUCCGCAGAACAUGCCGUUUUGGUUUUCAAUGAUGUUGUUCAAAUCGUUCAAAGGCAUGAAUAAAACGUUCUAGUAGUCCCUAUCAUUUGGAUCAACAUAUAGGAAGAUAAAAAUGACGUCACUUGUUUACGUCCAAAACUUUUGUUUACCAAUAAUAGCCUACCUUGUCUUAUUGUAUGCCGUGUAUGUGUUAUGGUAAUCAAAUUGUUCUAACCUUGGAUAACAACCCUGGCCAAGUUCGCAGGGGUUGACGGUAUUAAAGUGAAGGAGUUUCAUUUUGAUUAUUGUAAUGUAGUGUUCUUUAGUGAAACAUAUCACCUUUUUAACACUUUAAUGCGCCUCCAACGAUUCAUCACGAACCGGCUGCUGCAGAUGGAGUAUGGCUGAUCAUAUGCAUCAGACAUGCUCGAUAAACACGGAGGAACCGCCAGGGCUCAGUAGAGUCUAUUCCCAAGCAAUAGUUCCAAAUCAGUUGGAUUUGAAAAGGUUUUGAUGAUCGUUACAAAUCCUAAUAAAAGUUUUAUAGGAUUUGUGACUGGUUUUGGAACCUUUUACAGCCAGCUGACUUCAAAAUGUUGUUUGGGCUCUAUUUCCCACGUUUCUCGGUUGAUUUUGAUUAGUAAUUUAUUGAUGUCAUAGUCGCUUUUUCGAAUUUCUACAAUGUUAUACUUUAUUAUAUUUUAUUUAAAUAAAGCAAUUAAAAUCAACCGAAAAAUUAAUAGUGGGAAGGAGAUUUGCAGCACUUAAUUGUGCUGAUAGAUUCGAAGCUAACGUGCGAACACUUGACGUGACAGUUUGGACUGGACAAAAAACUGACUGCUUUUUAUUAAUUGAACAACGUUACUUUUGUAUGACUAGGUUGACAUUUCUAGGCCACGUAUGAGAAAAUGACAUAGUUUAUCUUGAUAGGACCGAUAGGACAGAACGAAUUUGAAUAUUUUUCAUAGUAUUUGUAGGGGGAUGAAUACAUAAUAGUUGACAAGCAAUUUUUGUUUAUCUCUUAGAUGAUGUUAUGACACCAACAGAAAAAAUAUCAGAAGUUCAGUUACAUGUUUCUGUUGGUUUUGGACCGAUGACAUUUUAAGGACACAAGAGAUGAACACAGAGAAGUAAAAAUCAAGAAAACAAUUUGACACAGAAUCGACUAUAUUUUAACAUACGGGUUCGACUGAUUAGAUGAAUCUGUCUGGAAGUAUCUAGAAGACAAUUGACGCUAAGAUUGGAAAAAAAGCUUGCAGUUGGGACUAGACUACAAUAAUGGCCGAUAGGAAACAUUGCGCUAGACAGCAUUAUUAUUCAUUUUUUUUAAUGUUUACCCGUAGGCUUUUCGCCGGUUGACAGUACAGUAUUUAUCUGUGUACGAAGAUACGGAUAAGUUGGUGUACAGAUGCCAGGGUUCUCACGGGCAGUGCUUCAAGCGAGGCUUACAUAACAACUGACAAUAAAGAAACCUAUUUUCCUUGACUUUCUACGCAGUGGACAUCUGACCGAACAUACGUGUUUUCGUUAAUCUCCUAGGCAUUAUUAAGACAUGAGGUAUGUGCAUGACGGAACAACUAGCAGGACACAGUUCUAGACGUAUCUUUUCAAUAACGACAUUCAACAUAUUUCCAAUAAAACUACACUUCAAUAAAGCAAAGACUAAAGCUGCUAUGAUAGAACAGUUCAGAAUGACUUAAUUGACUGUUACCUUGGAGAUCUACUUCGAAUAACUGACAAAUUGACAAGAACCUAACUAAUUACAUGGAUCAUACUAAAAAAACAAUUGACAAAAAGAAAAAAGGGGAAACUUUUAGUAAAACUAUUUUUGUUCAACGCAGGCCAAACAGUGUCGACUUGGGCCACACACGCCUACGUACUUCUGUGUGUUGAAACAAAAAUAGAGGCUCCUAGAAGCAAAUGUAGGGAAAGGGUGCGGUGUAGAACAUAAGCACAGUGUUGAAAAUGCUUUGACAUCCAUGUGCACAACAGAACAUGUGCUCGAUGAACAAAUUGAGAUUUGAAAUUAUGAAAAGAAAUCCACGUACUCCGGUGAGACUCGAACUCACGACUCCCAAUUCGCUAGACGGGCGCUUCUAUUCCUUCAAGCUACGGAGUCACUCGACUAUCUCCGUCGCCAGCAGGCCUAGAACUGAACUCGAUUCCACAAUCGCACAUGGUUAUCUUCUUUUCACAAUCCAAACCCCCUUCGGAUGGGAUUAGAUGAACAUCUAACACAUUGUCUGUUGUGCACAUGUAUGUCAAAGCGGGAGAGGAAGUUAUUUUUAAUUGUCGAGAGCUUCGGGCACUGCCUCCCAAUCACUUAUUGGUAUGGCAAUUAGUGUGCAGUCGGACUCUCGACGGGUCGGUCCUCGGCCGACCGAAUACGGUAAGGGUGACCGUAGCACCUUACAAAUGUCAAUUUCUUGAUUUUGCUUUGGCUGACCAAGCCAUGUGGGAAAUUACACUGUUGAAAAUGCUUUGACAUCCAUGUGCACAACAGAACAUGUGCUCGAUGAACAAAUUGAGAUUUGAAAUUAUGAAAAGAAAUCCACGUACUCCGGUGAGACUCGAACUCACGACUCCCAAUUCGCUAGACGGGCGCUUCUAUUCCUUCAAGCUACGGAGUCACUCGACUAUCUCCGUCGCCAGCAGGCCUAGAACUGAACUCGAUUCCACAAUCGCACAUGGUUAUCUUCUUUUCACAAUCCAAACCCCCUUCGGAUGGGAUUAGAUGAACAUCUAACACAUUGUCUGUUGUGCACAUGUAUGUCAAAGCGGGAGAGGAAGUUAUUUUUAAUUGUCGAGAGCUUCGGGCACUGCCUCCCAAUCACUUAUUGGUAUGGCAAUUAGUGUGCAGUCGGACUCUCGACGGGUCGGUCCUCGGCCGACCGAAUACGGUAAGGGUGACCGUAGCACCUUACAAAUGUCAAUUUCUUGAUUUUGCUUUGGCUGACCAAGCCAUGUGGGAAAUUACACUGUUGAAAAUGCUUUGACAUCCAUGUGCACAACAGAACAUGUGCUCGAUGAACAAAUUGAGAUUUGAAAUUAUGAAAAGAAAUCCACGUACUCCGGUGAGACUCGAACUCACGACUCCCAAUUCGCUAGACGGGCGCUUCUAUUCCUUCAAGCUACGGAGUCACUCGACUAUCUCCGUCGCCAGCAGGCCUAGAACUGAACUCGAUUCCACAAUCGCACAUGGUUAUCUUCUUUUCACAAUCCAAACCCCCUUCGGAUGGGAUUAGAUGAACAUCUAACACAUUGUCUGUUGUGCACAUGUAUGUCAAAGCGGGAGAGGAAGUUAUUUUUAAUUGUCGAGAGCUUCGGGCACUGCCUCCCAAUCACUUAUUGGUAUGGCAAUUAGUGUGCAGUCGGACUCUCGACGGGUCGGUCCUCGGCCGACCGAAUACGGUAAGGGUGACCGUAGCACCUUACAAAUGUCAAUUUCUUGAUUUUGCUUUGGCUGACCAAGCCAUGUGGGAAAUUACACUGUUGAAAAUGCUUUGACAUCCAUGUGCACAACAGAACAUGUGCUCGAUGAACAAAUUGAGAUUUGAAAUUAUGAAAAGAAAUCCACGUACUCCGGUGAGACUCGAACUCACGACUCCCAAUUCGCUAGACGGGCGCUUC